rnacentral:rRNA from 1 species
GAUGAACGCUGGCGGCGUGCCUAAUACAUGCAAGUCGAGCGAACAGACGGGAAGUUUCUCUCUCUGAUGUUAGCGGCGGGCGGGUGAGUAACAUGUGGAAAACGUCCCUAUCACACUGGGAUACCCUCGGGAAAGCGGAGCUAAUAGCGUAUAAUCUUCUGAGCCGCAUGGUUCAAAAGUGAAAGACGGUCUUGCUGUCACUUAUAGCUGGCUCCGCGCUGCAUUAGCUAGUUGGUAAGGUUACGGCUUACCAAGGGAACGAUGCAUAGCCGACCGGAGAGAGGGGUCGGCGGCACUAGAGCUUGGACAGGGACCCGACGACUACGGGAGGCCGCAGUAGGGAACCGUCCGCAAUGGGCGAGAGCCUGGCGCAGCAGCGCCACGUGAGUUAUGAAGGCCUUCGGAUCGUAAAACUCGGUUAUUAGGGGUAAACAUAUGUGUGAGUAGCUGUGGACAUCUUGACGGUACCUGAACAGAAAGCCCCGGCUAACUACGUG